rnacentral:lncRNA from 1 species
CAAAUAUCAUUUUAUUUUUAUUAUUAUUACAUCACAUUUCACGUGCACCAAAGGAACAGUUGCUCGUGAGUCACGAUACGAUAUUUAAAAAAAUGGCGUGAGCCUUACCUGAGCAAAGAUUCAUUGAGAAAGAAUUGGGGUCACCUUUGUUGAAGCAUUCCGGUCAGGAAGGUACACCAUGUGGGGUAGUAUUGCCAGCUAUUUUAGCCCAAUUUUCAUGGAAAAAAUAAUCCUCACGUUUUGUUCCCUUUAUAGUUGUCAAGGUCUACCCUUUCUUGGAAAUAAAGCUUGUUUUUCCAAGAUUUGAUUAUGCCCUUUAUUUAAUUCUUACAUUUCUCAGAGUCUUUGAAGAAUGUAGGGACAUAUGCUUCCCUUUGAGUCUUUGACAACAUUAAUUGACUUUAGAUGGAUAAGAACUCCAACUCGUUGCUGAGUAUAAUCUUACAUUUAAAAAAAUAAUAAUAUGCAUAAUGCAUGGUUAUUUUUCUAAUUUUUCAUUGACAAUUGUCCUUUAAAUUAAACUUAAUUAGUUAUCAAGGAAGGGGGAACAUGGAGAAUGAAACAUUCGUAUGUAUGCAUGUUUCAAAGAAAUAUAUGAUAACCGUAUUUGUGACAGAAACACAGUCGAAUGAUACAAAAAAUAAUUGCUUUAAUUAUUAAAUUUAUAUCGAAUAAAAAGUAUUGCAAGCAACCAAAAAAAAGUAUUGCAAG